GGGGAAAGACCACAGGGGAGUUCUCAUGUUGCUGAGUUCUCUUUUUCUGCCUGGUGGUCAUCCGUUUCCCACCCCGCCUGUGGACUCCUGGCAUGCGGAGUGUCCAUUUCUCUGGUGAUCGAGGCGCUAUGUCUGGCUCUGUCAGUAACCAGACAGGCCUGGUGAAUGUCACCAGCUGUGUGACCCCAACACUGACGCUCAACCUGCGCUCAUCACACAACGAGCUGCUUAAUGCUGACAUCAAGAGAUCGACGCCACCCAAAGGCCGUAAGGUUUAUGCUUCUACUGACCUUCAGACUGCCAUGGGACUGGCUGAUGAGACUGCCAAUAGCAAGUGGCUGAAGGACGGGCGAAAUCAGAUGCGCAAGGCCGCCGAGAACGAGAGAAAAGACCAGAAUUGGAACGUUACCUCGAGAACGGAAGAGAUUGAGAGCUCUGCAAAGAAGGAGCAACAAGAAUCAGUAGACAAGGAGCAAGCAGUGAACCAGGCUGGUUCCCAAAGUAAAGGCUUCCUCAGUUACUACAUGGGCCUGGAACUUUCCCUCAAUGCAUGUGGUGGGAAUUCUGACAAAGGACAACCACUGGUCAUCCAGUUGGAUCAGGGAGACUUUGAGGCAUGUGAGUCAGACUCAGCAAGUCAACCGUCUGAAAUCCGGUCAGGUUCCAAAAUGCAUGGAGAGCAGCCACUGGAAGAUGCAAAAGCCGGACUGACCAACCCAUUGGAGGCACCCAGUGACCAUCGGAAAAGCUCAUGUCUGUUAUUUGGAAUGAAAAAUACAGCAGCUAGUGAUGAGGACUCGAGUUGGACCAGCCUUUCCCAAGGCAGUGCUUCUUGGAGUUCCCCUGACGAUAUAGAUCCUAUCUGGAAUCGGAAUUCAUUUGAGACAGAUGCAGACCUGCCCUCUGGCUGGAUGCGGGUACGAGACACCUCGGGGACCUAUUACUGGCACAUUCCAACGGGAACAACUCAGUGGGAGCCGCCGCCACCUGCCUGUGACCAGGAAUCAGGAUCUCGGAAACCUUCUGUCAUGUCACAGUGUACGACUCCCUUGGAGGAUCAACAGCUGACUUGGACUGGUUUAACUGUGGGUGAGAAGUGUGUUGGAGUCGACAUGUGGAAGGAGAUCCAAACCACAACUGAGACCUCAGAUACAAGUCUGAAAGAAUUUGAGGGGGCAACACUAAGAUACGCAUCUUUGAAUCUCGGAGGCCAAACAGAAGAGGAUAAUUACAAAAAUAUCCUAAAUACCGAUGAUGAGUCAAAGUGUUUUUCCGUCCGAUCCCUUGGUUGGGUAGAGAUGUUGGAGGAGGACCUCGCUCCAGGAAAGAGCAGCAUUGCUGUCAACAACUGUAUACGACAGCUGUCCUACCACAAGAACAACCUGCACGAUGCUGCAGGAACCUGGGGGGAGGGUAAAGACAUGCUGCUACUGCUUGAAGACGACACGCUGAACCUCAUCGAUCCCCUGGGCCAGAAUUUGCUACACACACAACCGAUUGUUAGCAUCCGGGUAUGGGGUGUCGGCCGGGACAGUGGGCGGGAUUUUGCCUAUGUCGCCAGAGACAAACUGACGCGUGUACUGAAAUGUCACGUAUUCCGCUGUGACCUGCCGGCAAAGGCCAUUGCCACCAGACUGCAUGAAAUCUGCUCAAAGAUCAUGGCUGACAGGAAAGAUACCAAGACCUCGAUGAACGGGAUGCUGUUUGACCAUUCAAAGCUUGUUGAUGUCCCAUUCCAAGUGGAGUUUCCAGUGCCCAAGAGUGAGCUUGUUCAAAGAUUCCAAGUGCUGUACUUGGGAAAUAUUCCAGUGACCAAGCCUGUAGGUAUGGAUGUGAUAAACAGUGCGCUGGAGAACACUAUUCAAAGCAGCUGUAAAGAGAACUGGACUCCAGUCAUCGUCAAUGUGGCUUCAGCGACUCUCACUAUUAUCAGUGAGGAGAGUGAAGAGGUUCUGUCAGAAUGCCGAGUGCGUUUCCUCUCCUUUAUGGGUGUUGGCCGAGAUGUCCACUCCUUUGCCUUCAUUAUGGCUGCUGGUCCUGAUCAGUUUGAUUGUCACAUGUUCUGGUGUGAACCCAAUGCUGCUGGCCUAUCAGAGGCUGUGCAGGCAGCGUGCAUGCUGCGAUAUCAGAAGUGUUUGGAUGCUCGGCCUCCAGGACUCGGCAACUCACUGACUGUGCCAUGUGCAGAUUCUGUCGCCAGGAGAGUUGGUUCCAGUGUUAAGAAGGGGGUUCAGUCCCUCCUGGGAUCCUUCAAACCCAAACGGUCUGGAUCCCAGACUCCCUAACAGCUCCAAGGAUAAGAUUGGACCUGCACUUGUGGACUCUUUCCUCUUAAAUAACAAACUGCCAACAAGAACAAUUCAAAUUCAUGUGCCAACUAACUCCAUGGCAGGUCAACUGCAGAACUUUCUGAGUACCCUCACUGGACAGAGAGAACAGAGCAGUGUUAUAGGCUGAGGCAUAAGCCCUGAUUCCCUCCGGAUCCAAGAUGAGGGAGCUGUCGUCGGUGAGCAACACAAGGAGCUGCUGACACACCCCUGCCUUUUCUCCAGUGAGUAAAAGAAGGGGGACCCACAAUCCAGAUCCCAGAGGAACCAGAUCCAUGACCUCAGGAACUUGAAGCUCUCGACCACCUCCACCUCAGCACCACUGACACAGCAGGGGUGUGUACUCCACUGUGCUCCUGAAUUCGAUGGCCAGCUCCUUCAUUUUGCUGACACUGAGGGAGAGAUUGUUGUCAUUACACCAGGACAGAGGAAAAUCCUUGAAUUCUCUACUGAUCAAGAAUCCACGUCAGCCUUAAAUAUACACAAGUUCUCAAUGGAAAGAUCAUAAAGAUGGUUAGAAAGUUCAUGAUUCAGGGAGAGGACUCCUGGCCCAGGAAGUAGGCACAGAUACAAGGCAAUGAAAGAAGAGUUCACCAUUGUGCCUUGUCUGAAAUUCAUUUGAAAUUCAUGCAGGUUAGUUUGAUCUUGGGGUAGGAUAAUAGGUCAGCACAACAUUGUGGGCCAAAGGGCCUGUACUCUGCUGUACUGUUCUAUGUUCUAUGAUCAUUGAGGUGGUGGGUGCAGGAGGAUAAAACAGUGUGUUCUGAUUCUAGCUGACGGUACCAAAGGACAUGUCAGAUCCCAGAGUGGAGUCUGCCUUAAUAGAUCGUAGCCAGUGUGGUAGUUCAUCAUUGAGACAGUCACACAAGGGUGCAGACAGAAACAUAGAAAAUAGGAGCAGGAGUUAGCCAGUCACCUCUUCAAGUUUACUCCACCAUUCAGUGUGAUCAUAGUUGUCACUGAACCCAGUUCCCUUUUCCUUUUUCUCUUUAUGUACUUUGAUCCCUUUAUCUAAUCUAAUUCCUUGAAAACAUUGUGUUUUGGCCUCAAACACUUUCUGUGGCAGAGAAUUCUACAGGUUCACCACAGUCUGGGUGAAGACAUUUCUCCUCAGCUCAGUCCUACAGUGUGCACUCUGUAUCCUUAGACUGUGAUCCAUACUUCUGUACAAUCAUUGGGAACAUCUUUCCUGCAUUUACCCUGUCCUAGUCCUCUUAGGAUUUUAUAGAUUUCUAUGAGAUCACCCCUCAGUCUAAUCAGCUCCAGCGAAUAUACUCCUAACUGAUCAGAGUCUCUUCAUACCCCAGGAAUCAGUCUAGUAAAUUUUCAUGGCACUCCCUUGCUUCCUCAGGUAAGCAGAUGAAAACUGCACAGAAUACCCAGCCCAAGACAUCCCUGCUCCUGUACUUGAAUUGUCUCACCACGAAAGUAAACAUACCUUUGCCUUCUUCACUAAAAAAUCCUUAGACAACACCGUCCAAACCUAUGACUACCGUAGAAGGACAAGGGCAGCAGAUACACAGGAACACCAUCCCCUCCAAGAUCCCCAUCCAAGCCACUCACCAUCCUGACUUGGAAAUAUAUCCCCAUUCUUUCACUAUUGCUUGAUUAAAAUCCUGGAAAUCUCCCCAAGGGCAUUGUGGAUCUGCCAGCAGCACAUGGACUGCAGCGGUUCAAGAAGGCAGCUCACCCCUACCUUCUCAAGGGGGCAACUAGGGACGGGUAUUAAAUGCUGGACCAGACGGUGAUGACAUGUUUUAUGAAUGAAUGAAAAAAUACACCUGCAGCACCUGUGUACUAUUUAGGCCUAUACUUGGUAGAGCUUUGAAAAAUGACAGGAGAUAAAAUUGAGGUAAACAAGAUGCUAACGAGAACUGAUAAAUCUUUUGUUUAUGCUGUAGAAGGUUAGUUACUACUGUAACAGUUGAAUGUGAUCUCAUGCUACCUAGAAAAUGGUAACUUUGGAAUACCAAAAGCACACAGAGUUUUAAAGGGGGCCCAAUUUCCAAAUCCUAGGGGAGAUAGGGUGAAACAUUUCUCAAAGAAGUGUCAAUAACCAGGGGCACAGUUUCAAGGGAAAGUGCAGGUGAUUUUGAAGGAAUUUGAAGAACAGCUCUUUCACUCAAGGGUUGGGGGUAUCUGGAACUCAGUGCCUAACAGGAUGAUGGAGACAGGAACCCUCAAGACAUUUAAAAACUAUAUGAACACUUGAAAUGACAGGUUAUAACAACGCCGUGGGCCAAGAGCUGAAAAAAUGGGAUUAGAAUACAUGGAUGUUUGAUGACUGGCAUGUACACAAUGGGCUGAUGGUGCCUCUUUCUGUGCUGCAAACUCUAUGACAUAGUAGAACAAUGAUCCCCCCUUAUGGGGUAAUCUAGAAUGAGAGAUCAUAGUUUAGUCUGAUGUGGGGGGAUUUAAAACAGAGAUAGAGGAGGAGGUACAUUUCUCAAAGGAUCAUCAAUCUGUGCGAUUCACCAGCCCAGAGUGCAAUGGAUGCUUGGACACUGAACAAAUCUGAGAAAACAGAUUUUAAUUAGUAAUGGGUUAAAGAGUUGUGGGGAGCAGGCAGGAAAAUGAAAUGAGAUCAGCCAUGGUCAUAAUGGUGGAGCAGGCUCGAGGGGUUGAAUUGCCUACUCCUGCUCCUAAUUUUUACAUUGUUACUUUCAGCAUCUGGUGUACACUGUUAGGGCUGCCCAUGACUGAGUAGCACAAAAUGGCCGAUGGCUACCCAUUGUUAGUGCAGCAGAAUAUGGCUGACAAUAGUUAAAGACCUUGGGAAAACAUUUGCUUUACAUAAUCUUCACAACUAGAACAAUACUAGCUCUGUAGACUCAAGGUUACUGGACUGAGAUAGAAUGUGCAGCAGCAAUUGUUAACACGCAAGACAUAGAUAAGACAUUUAAUAAGUAAAUUUCUCUUGUAUUAUUUAAUCUGUUACAAUGGUUAGAGUAGGUUUUAGUAAAGAUUCUUCAAAUAAUCAUAGAUUAUAGAUUCCAAAGUAGUUAUAGAUCCACCUAUAUACAAAAAAAAGCAUUAGAAGAAAAGAUUCAAACCAGUUCCAGACAGUAAAAGUAGCCCCCAUUUCAUUACAGGGAGAGAAGAGAUUCUGGUAACAUCAUGAAACCAUGUAGGAUUGGGGGUAGACCACAAACCUGUCCAUCUCUUUAUAAUUCAGUGAUAUGAUUAGCUUAAUUAGAAAUACACUGAAAUUGCCAAGUGUGGCAGUACUUACUUUGGGUUCAGAACAAAACAGCUCAGUUGCAAAGGGACAAGUCAGCACUGCUGACUUAUAGUAAACAAAGCGGGCGAGUGGGGUAGGCUGUGUGUCCACUUUAAGCUUAAGCUGUAUAAAAUAAGCGACUUAGAAACUUUUUGUGUGCCUUAUUUCUCCAGAGAAAUGAAGCUGUACUGAAAAUAAAGCUGCAAUAAAGGUUACCUGAUGCCACCCUGCAA